CCUACGGGUGGCAGCAGUGAGGAAUAUUGGUCAAUGGGCGGAAGCCUGAACCAGCCAAGUCGCGUGAGGGAUUAAGGCCCUGCGGGUCGUAAACCUCUUUUGCCGGGGAGCAGAGGUCCGGACGUGUCCGGGCCGGGAGAGUACCCGGAGAAAAAGCAUCGGCUAACUCCGUGCAAGCAGCCGCGGUAAUACGGAGGAUGCGGGCGUUAUACGGAUUUAUUGGGUUUAAAGGGUGCGUAGGCGGGCAUUUAAGCCGGCGGUCAAAUGUCGGGGCUCAACCCCGGCGAGCCGUUGAACCUGGAUGUCUUGAGAUGUCGAGAGGUAUGCGGAAUGCGCAGUGUAGCGGUGAAAUGCUUAGAUAUUGCGCAGAACUCCGAUUGCGAAGGCAGCAUACCGGCGGCGAUCUGACGCUGAGGCACGAAAGCGUGGGUAUCAAACAGGAUUAGAUACCCUUGUAGUC
rnacentral:rRNA from 1 species